GACGAACGCUGGCGGCGUGCUUAACACAUGCAAGUCGAACGGAAAGGCCCUGCUUUUGUGGGGUGCUCGAGUGGCGAACGGGUGAGUAACACGUGAGUAACCUGCCCUUGACUUUGGGAUAACUUCAGGAAACUGGGGCUAAUACCGGAUAGGAGCUCCUGCUGCAUGGUGGGGGUUGGAAAGUUUCGGCGGUUGGGGAUGGACUCGCGGCUUAUCAGCUUGUUGGUGGGGUAGUGGCUUACCAAGGCUUUGACGGGUAGCCGGCCUGAGAGGGUGACCGGCCACAUUGGGACUGAGAUACGGCCCAGACUCCUACGGGAGGCAGCAGUGGGGAAUAUUGCACAAUGGGCGGAAGCCUGGUGCAGCAACGCCGCGUGCGGGAUGACGGCCUUCGGGUUGUAAACCGCUUUCGCCUGUGACGAAGCGUGAGUGACGGUAAUGGGUAAAGAAGCACCGGCUAACUACGUGCCAGCAGCCGCGGUGAUACGUAGGGUGCGAGCGUUGUCCGGAUUUAUUGGGCGUAAAGGGCUCGUAGGUGGUUGAUCGCGUCGGAAGUGUAAUCUUGGGGCUUAACCCUGAGCGUGCUUUCGAUACGGGUUGACUUGAGGAAGGUAGGGGAGAAUGGAAUUCCUGGUGGAGCGGUGGAAUGCGCAGAUAUCAGGAGGAACACCAGUGGCGAAGGCGGUUCUCUGGGCCUUUCCUGACGCUGAGGAGCGAAAGCGUGGGGAGCGAACAGGCUUAGAUACCCUGGUAGUCCACGCUGUAAACGGUGGGUACUAGGUGUAGGGUCCAUUCCACGGGUUCCGUGCCGUAGCUAACGCUUUAAGUACCCCGCCUGGGGAGUACGGCCGCAAGGCUAAAACUCAAAGGAAUUGACGGGGCCCCGCACAAGCGGCGGAGCAUGCGGAUUAAUUCGAUGCAACGCGUAGAACCUUACCUGGGUUUGACAUGGAUCGGGAGCGCUCAGAGAUGGGUGUGCCUCUUUUGGGGUCGGUUCACAGGUGGUGCAUGGCUGUCGUCAGCUCGUGUCGUGAGAUGUUGGGUUAAGUCCCGCAACGAGCGCAACCCUUGUUCACUGUUGCCAGCACGUUAUGGUGGGGACUCAGUGGAGACCGCCGGGGUCAACUCGGAGGAAGGUGGGGAUGACGUCAAGUCAUCAUGCCCCUUAUGUCCAGGGCUUCACGCAUGCUACAAUGGCUGGUACAGAGAGUGGCGAGCCUGUGAGGGUGAGCGAAUCUCGGAAAGCCGGUCUCAGUUCGGAUUGGGGUCUGCAACUCGACCUCAUGAAGUCGGAGUCGCUAGUAAUCGCAGAUCAGCAACGCUGCGGUGAAUACGUUCCCGGGGCU
rnacentral:rRNA from 1 species